ACAGGUCUCUCUAUGCUUCUGUUGAGAUUAAGAGUCUGGAAGUCCCUGUAGCUGUGGAAACUCUCAGUCCUCCGUGCUCUGGCUAACAAAGGGCUCUCUCGGUAAGGCCGCGUGGCACCAUAGGUUGCCGCUUCGUGGAUGGUUUCGUGGUGCUGGAGCUGAAGGCUGAGAGACAGAUUUAAAAAUGACAGCUAUGAUUUCACUGCAAGGUCUCAGGAGCAUAGCUCGGCAGUUAAGCUGCCAACUAAAACAUAAGGCAAGUUACUAGCUACUUUCUGUAUACAAAUAUAUUUGUUAAGUAGAUCAUAUCAUAUACAAUUACCAACUAACGUAAUAACACACAUACAUUCAUAAUCAAGCAAAACUUUUGAAUAGUAGGGGGAAAGGAAAAUAAGUGUUUAAAAAAGCCAAUAAGAAAUCAAUGUACUUCAAUAUUUGGUCCUUGGAUUCUCAGAAUUUCACAUUUUAGUCAACGUGGUUGGAAAAGGCAGAGUAUUUCUUUGUAUAUGACAUUAAAUAACUUUUGGUUAGCACCACUCCUAAUACAGGGCGAGCGAGUCACCACCACCUAACAGCUCUGCAGCGGCCAGUCCUUUCCUGCAGUGCCUGGAAUGACAGUGUCCCCACAGUCUCAGGCAUCUGAACUCUUGGUCCCUGUUGGUGAAGCUGUGUGUGAGGGUGCUAUGUGAGGGAACGAUGUCCCUGGGCGCAGGCUUUGGGGAGGAGUUUAAGGCUUUGUACCAUUUCUAGUUCAUUCUCUGCUUUGAGCUUGUGGUUCAGGAUAAGAGCCCUCAGCAUCGGGCUCCAGCUGCGAUGCCUGCUGCCUGCUGAUACCUGCUGCCUGCUGAUACCUGCUGCCUGCUGCUGCCUGCUGAUACCUGCUGCCUGCUGAUACCUGCUGCCUGCUGAUACCUGCUGCCUGCUGAUACCUGCUGCCUGCUGCCGCUUCCCAGCUGUGAAGGACUUUUAGCCCUCGGGAAACUUAAGCUCAGUAAACUCUGUAAGCUACCGUGGUUAUUGUGCUUAAUCAACUAAGUUAAAAGCCAAGCUGGGGCGGGGGUCAGACUCAGUGGUAAAAAGCGUGUUUGCAUGCAUGAAGUCUAGGUGUCAAUGACAGCACAUGCCAGACACACACAAGACCACAACAUUUUUCCCCCUUGCACAUUACAUAUGUAUGAAACUGUCAAAGAACUCAAUAAAAGUUUAAAAUGUUUUCCUCUG
rnacentral:lncRNA from 1 species